AGCAUGUGAGUUUUGAGGAAACACAAACAUUGGUCCAUAAUACAUAUCCUUAAAGAUAUUCUCCUGCUCUGACUGCUUUCAUAGGCUCUCAGGAGUUCAGGCAUAAUAUGCACAAAAAAGCAGGCAAACUCUGCUUAUGCAUAGAAUAAUAAAGUUUGUGCAUUGAACUCAAAAGCUUAAGGAAGACUUGGUUUAAAGAUUUAUAAUCUUAAUAAAUUGAAUGUAGUUGACCUGUAAACAACAUGGGUUUAAACUGCAUGAGUCACUUAUGCAUGGAUUUUCUUCUGCUUCUGCCACCCCGGGAACAGCAAGACCAACCCUUCCUCUUCCUCCUCUCCUCAGCCUACUCGGUGUGAAGACAAUGAGGAUGAAGACCUUUACGAUGAUACACUUCCACUUAAUAACCAGCUAUACAGGAAACAUGACUGGAGAGGCUUCAGGAAACUUACAGUCAUGGUGAAAGGGUGAAUGAGAAGCAACCAUGUCUUCACGUGGCGGCAGGACAGAGAGAGAGCAAAAGGGGAAGUGCUACACACUUUCAAACAAUCAGAUCUCAUGAG
ensembl:lncRNA novel transcript